UACGGGGGGGGCAAGCGUUGUUCGGAAUUACUGGGCGUAAAGGGCUCGUAGGCGGCCAACUAAGUCAGACGUGAAAUCCCUCGGCUUAACCGGGGGAACUGCAUCUGAUACUGGAUGGCUUGAGUUCGGGAGAGGGAUGCGGAAUUCCAGGUGUAGCGGUGAAAUGCGUAGAUAUCUGGAGGAACACCGGUGGCGAAGGCGGCAUCCUGGACCGACACUGACGCUGAGGAGCGAAAGCCAGGGGAGCAAAGCGGG
rnacentral:rRNA from 1 species